UACGUAGGGCGCAAGCGUUAUCCGGAAUUAUUGGGCGUAAAGAGCUCGUAGGCGGUUUGUCGCGUCUGCCGUGAAAGUCCGGGGCUCAACUCCGGAUCUGCGGUGGGUACGGGCAGACUAGAGUGAUGUAGGGGGAGACUGGAAUUCCUGGUGUAGCGGUGAAAUGCGCAGAUAUCAGGAGGAACACCGAUGGCGAAGGCAGGUCUCUGGGCAUUAACUGACGCUGAGGCUCGAAGGCCUAGGGUAGCGAAAGGGG
rnacentral:rRNA from 1 species